GUUUUUAGUAAGAGGUGAAUUGUUAAUAAAGAGUAUUAUUAAGUACUGUAAAGGAGAAAAUUUUAUAGAAAAUAAGUAGCGGUUGACUCGCGUACCUUUUGUAUCAUGGUUUGGCUAGAAUAAAGAAGGAAUGCUUUGAUCUAGAAGUCUAAAGUGCGAUUUUUAUCCCUUUAUUUAGAAUAAUUAAAUUUAAAUGUGAAAAAAUUUUUUUAAGAGAAAAAAAUUGAAAUGAUAUUUUAUUCGGGUUAGACGAUAGCUAGUUAUUCUAAAAAGGCAUAUAAGUGCUCCUAGUUAUAGAUUAACUCAACUUUCUAUAGAUUGAAGGAUAUUAAUUAGUAGCUAGUCUAGGUAUUAGAGGAUCAGCUCUAGUAGAAAAAAUGAAGAAAGGAAGUAAUAUAGGAUAUAGUUCAAGGCUUAGAGUUAGCUGCGAAAUCUACUUAUUAUAAAGGAUAUUCGGGAGGGAACUAAAGAUUAAUUUUUUUAAGAAAAAUAGAAUAAUUAUUCAAAACCGUUGGAAAUAGAAAUAAUGCUAUAAUGAGUAUUAUUUUUGAAAACAGGAUAUAAGCAUCAAGAGAUAUCCUUAACUAUGUGUUAACGUAGAAAAUUAUUAUUCUGGGGAAAGGAAUUCAGCAAAGUAUUCUCCCGCCUGUUUAUCAAAAACAUGUCUUCUUGAGAAGAAAUAAUAAGAAGUCAGGCCUGCCCAAUGAAAAGAUUUAAAUGGCCGCGGUAUUUUAACCGUGCUAAGGUAGCAUAAUCAUUUGUCUAUUAAUUAUAGUCUAGAAUGAAUGGCUUAACGAGGAGAAAACUGUCUCUUUCCAGAAUCUAAAAUUUAUCUUCCAGGUAAAAAGUCCUAGAUUUGAUUAAAAGACGAGAAGACCCUAUCGAGCUUAACUCUCUUCAUCAAUUGCGGGUCAAUGGGGGGUUUAGUUGGGGCAACUUAGGAAUAUAUAAAGCUUCCUCUAUAAAUUUAGAAGUAUUAUUGAUCCAGCAGUUCUGAUAAAAAGAAAAAGUUACCGUAGGGAUAACAGCAUUAUCUUUUCUGAGAGCUCUAAUCGAAGAAAAGGCUUGUGACCUCGAUGUUGGACUAGGAUAUCCAAAGGGUGUAGCAGCUCUUAAAGGUUGGUCUGUUCGACCAUUAAUAAUCCUACAUGAUCUGAGUUCAGACCGGCGUAAGCCAGGUCAGUUUCUAUCUUUAAUUUUAAAAGAGGAGGCUAGUACGAAAGGACCGUUUCUUUUAAAAUUUUUAUAUAUAAAGAA
rnacentral:rRNA from 2 species